AGGGUUUUCAAGAAAACCCAUCUCAAGGUUCAAGAAUCAAGAUUUAGGAAUUCUUCUCCAAAAUUCAAGUCUUUAAUUCAAGUUUUGGAGCAAUUAAGAUACCGAUUUUCAGGAGCAUACACCUGCGCAGUAGGAUCACCUCAGUUAUCAGCUUAUUGGUGAGCCCCACUUCUCUCGGGGUUCAACAUGGAGUCUGCACUAGUAUUCAGUUUAUGGUAGUCCAGGGCCAUGUCCUGGUAGUUGGUAUUCAGACAUGUUUUAGAGGUUUCAUAGACAGAUGUUAGUCCACGGAGUCAGUUAUGAUUUUACGUUUGCAGACUGUUACGUUUUCAUGAUUUUUCAUGCUAUGAGAUUACUUCAAGACUUUAUUCCGCAA